GAUGAACGCUGGCGGCGUGCCUAAUACAUGCAAGUCGAGCGAACAGACGAGGAGCUUGCUCCUCUGACGUUAGCGGCGGACGGGUGAGUAACACGUGGAUAACCUACCUAUAAGACUGGGAUAACUUCGGGAAACCGGAGCUAAUACCGGAUAACAUGUUGAACCGCAUGGUUCAACAGUGAAAGACGGUCUUGCUGUCACUUAUAGAUGGAUCCGCGCCGCAUUAGCUAGUUGGUAAGGUAACGGCUUACCAAGGCGACGAUGCGUAGCCGACCUGAGAGGGUGAUCGGCCACACUGGAACUGAGACACGGUCCAGACUCCUACGGGAGGCAGCAGUAGGGAAUCUUCCGCAAUGGGCGAAAGCCUGACGGAGCAACGCCGCGUGAGUGAAGAAGGUCUUCGGAUCGUAAAACUCUGUUAUUGGGGAAGAACAAAUGUGUAAGUAACUAUGCACGUCUUGACGGUACCUAAUCAGAAAGCCACGGCUAACUACGUG
rnacentral:rRNA from 1 species